AUAAGAAAAAGAAACUCAAUUUUUGUGUUAUUUCGUGAAAUUUAAAAAGAAUUGAAAAAUACCUCAUCAUUCCAAAUUUCUGGUAAUACAUAAUGGUAAUUGUUUGAUUUUUGGUUUUUGAAAUUUCAACUUUCUUGGAAAAAAUAUCAAAAUUUUGGUUUAAUUGAAGGAGAAAGUUGAAAUUCAAUGUAAACCAUUGGUUUUGACCUAGCUGUUGAGUCGAUUUCAAAUAUAGUUUCGAGCCGAUCUGGAGCAUGCGCCAAGUUUUCCCAUUUUUAUAGAAGAUGGUCAUAGAGGAAGUUAUGGUCUCGAAAGUCUCGAAGCUGAGAAACAUAUGUACAUACGAAAAUUGUGAUUGAUUGAAACGAUUAAGUAUAGGUAACGAAACACUAAUACCUACGUAUCUAUUAUGAGUCAUUUGCGUUUCCAAAUGCAUAAGUUUAGGUACCAGUGUUUUUUUUUUACAAGUUUCAGGAAAAAUUAACAAAUGAUAGUUAAAAUUUGUUGGAGGCUUCAAAUUCUAGAUUGACUCGAAAUAGAGAUAGCUUUCAAGUUUCAAUUGAUUCAAAUAACCGGAGACGACAGCGUUUUAUCGGCGAAGCCAUGGCGAAGCACCCCCUGUCCCUGAAUCCAACAAUAAUUUUCAGGAAAUUACGAUAGGUAACUUUAGCAAAUUGUGCUGUUUUGCGAAAGUUUUCAAAUUUCAAUUCUUUCGAAAAGAACGCGUUCACGUUCGCGUUCUUGCAAAAAAGAACGUGUUCCGUUUGCGUUCGCGAACUUGUCGUUCACGAAUGCGAACGCUGCUAUCAAAGUAGCUUUAGUAGCUGAGAAGGUAUUUAUAAAAAUACAUUUGGAGAUUACAUUUUUACCAUAAUUUUAAUUUUUUUUACUGAGUUAUAGUGAAUUACUUGAAUUUGUUUCCCAGGUCAUUCUAAGUCAUAACAGGAAACCUUUAAUUAUCGCUCCAGAAAACAUUAUUCAAAAACCGGGCGUCAACAAAAUUCUUGAGAAUCAGAUAUUUUUUGCUGAUGAUACGUCAGAAUUUGUUGAUGCCAUAAUUUGGUGUACAGGUGAGCGAUGUGAAUCAAUCUGAAGCGCAAUGAAGACAAUGUGCUUAAAGAGGGAGAGAAGAAUAAAAUUGCGUACGCCCAUUUGUAGUAUAAUAGCUGAAUACCAACUCAUUUUAGAAACAAAAUAAAAUCCAUCAAUUUCACAAAUUUCCCAAUUCAAGCUCGAGUUUUCUUACUUGAGAUCAAAAUCCAAUUGUCUUCCCAUGAGAAGUUCUCUCUCCCUCGAUGCUUUUAUUUUCGUUACGUGCCUAAGAAAGGUUUUUAAAAAAUAGAGAUUUGUACUUACCUAUCAAAUGAACUGGAUUAUUUUCAGGUUUUUUGUACAGUUUUCCUUUUCUGGAUUCUACAUGUGAGAUCAACAAUACAUGUAAUAUGGUAUUGAACCCUUUGUAUAAAAAUUUCAUUAACGCGAGGCAUCCAACCAUGUGUGUUAUCGGACUGCCACAAAACACCAUCGUCUUUCAGUUAUUAGAUUUACAGACUGAAGUAUUCGUCAGAAGUAUUUGUGGACUUGGUCAAUUGCCAUCAAUCGAAGAAAUGAUAUCUGAAGUCGAGAAAGAAAAGGAAGAAAAAUUGAAAGCUAACGUCGUCGAUAUUAGCCAGUAUUAUCAUUUAGCAGAUAAUAAGGAACGGCAGUAUUUCUAUGAACUUUACGAUUUAGGUAACUGCCAACCUUUUCCACCAGUCAUCUUCGAUAUACAUGAUAAAUGUCGUGAACUUUUUGAAAAAGAUUUUGAUAAUUUGAGAAAUAAUCAUUUCGAAAUAAUCGACGAUCACUCAUUUACUGUUCAACAGCGUGUAAGUGCAAGUUAGUCUGAUGUAAAAAAAUUAAAAAAAAAAACGGGUCAUUACCUACCUAAUUAUCAUUGAUUCGUAAGUUCAUCAGUCGUAAAUUUUGGGGAGUGAGGUACCUAGAAACUGUAGAUGGAUUUUGAUGAUGUGUUUUGUGAACACGGAAAUCAGACACUCUGGAAUCUUAAUAAACUUUCGCGAUAAUAAACAGAUUACGAAUCAUCAAAAUAAUAUCAACUUCAACAUUUGUGCAUACAUUUACUUCAAUUAUAUUGUGGGAUAGUCUAUGUCGUUAUCAGUUAACUUAUAUGUGAUAUUAUAUGAAAUUUUUUUUUUUAAAUUAGUGAGACUAUGCAAUUUAAACUACCUAGGUAAUAAUAAUUGAUGUUCAUUUAGAAAUUUUAUAUGAAUUACUUUACUUCAAAUUAUUGUGGAAUAAGGUAGGUAGUGAAGGCAAUUGGAGAUUUUUUUUUUUAACGAAUAACUGAAAUAACCGAGCUUAUUUUAAUCUAUUUCUUAAUUUCUAUGUUAUUAUACCUACAUAUUUUAUACUUUUAUUAUUCAAUUCUGAUAAAAUAAAUGUUUCCUUUCUGAAUGAAA